rnacentral:rRNA from 1 species
GACGAACGCUGGCGGCGUGCCUAAUACAUGCAAGUUGAGCGCUGAAGGUUGGUACUUGUACCAACUGGAUGAGCAGCGAACGGGUGAGUAACGCGUGGGGAAUCUGCCUUUGAGCGGGGGACAACAUUUGGAAACGAAUGCUAAUACCGCAUAAAAACUUUAAACACAAGUUUUAAGUUUGAAAGAUGCAAUUGCAUCACUCAAAGAUGAUCCCGCGUUGUAUUAGCUAGUUGGUGAGGUAAAGGCUCACCAAGGCGAUGAUACAUAGCCGACCUGAGAGGGUGGUCGGCCACAUUGGGACUGAGACACGGCCCAAACUCCUACGGGAGGCAGCAGUAGGGAAUCUUCGGCAAUGGACGAAAGUCUGACCGAGCAACGCCGCGUGAGUGAAGAAGGUUUUCGGAUCGUAAAACUCUGUUGGUAGAGAAGAAAGUUGGUGAGAGUGGAAAGCUCAUCAAGUGACGGUAACUACCCAGAAAGGGACGGCUAACUACGUG